UACGUAGGGUGCGAGCGUUGUCCGGAAUCACUGGGCGUAAAGGGCUCGUAGGCGGCCUGGCAAGUCGAUGGUGAAAGCCCGAGGCUCAACUUCGGGGCGGCCACUGAUACUGCUGGGCUUGAGUCGACUAGAGGCAGAUGGAAUUCCGGGUGUAGCGGUGGAAUGCGUAGAGAUCCGGAAGAACACCGGUGGCGAAGGCGGUCUGCUGGGGUCGAACUGACGCUGAGGCGCGACAGCGUGGGGAGCAAACAGG
rnacentral:rRNA from 1 species